CUCGUAGGCGGACUGUCACGUCUGCUGUGAAAAGCUGGGCUUAACCCUGGCCUUGCAGUGGAUACGGGCAGACUAGAGGUAGGUAGGGGAGAAUGGAAUUCCCGGUGUAGCGGUGAAAUGCGCAGAUAUCGGGAGGAACACCGGUGGCGAAGGCGGUUCUCUGGGCCUUACUGACGCUGAGGAGCGAAAGCGUGGGGAGCGAACAG
rnacentral:rRNA from 1 species